CCUACGAGGUGCAGCAGUGAGGAAUAUUGGUCAAUGGGCGCGAGCCUGAACCAGCCAAGUAGCGUGAAGGAUGACUGCCCUACGGGUUGUAAACUUCUUGUAUAAAGGAAUAAAGUGAGGCACGUGGGCCUUUUUGUAUGUACUUUAUGAAUAAGGAUCGGCUAACUCCGUGCCAGCAGCCGCGGUAAUACGGAGGAUCCGAGCGUUAUCCGGAUUUAUUGGGUUUAAAGGGAGCGUAGAUGGGUUGUUAAGUCAGUUGUGAAAGUUUGCGGCUCAACCGGAGAAUUGCAAUUGAUACUGGCAGUCUUGAGUGCAGUUGAGGUAGGCGGAAUUCGUGGUGUAGCGGUGAAAUGCUUAGAUAUCACGAAGAACUCCGAUUGCGAAGGCAGCUUACUAAACUGCCACUGACAUUGAUGCUCGAAAGUGUGGGUAUCAAACAGGAUUAGAUACCCCUGUAGUC
rnacentral:rRNA from 1 species